UACAGAGGUGGCAAGCGUUGUUCGGAAUUACUGGGCGUAAAGGGCGUGUAGGCGGUCUUCUAAGUCAGACGUGAAAUCCCCCGGCUUAACCUGGGAACUGCGUCUGAUACUGGGAGGCUUGAGUAUGGGAGAGGGAUGUAGAAUUCCAGGUGUAGCGGUGAAAUGCGUAGAUAUCUGGAGGAAUACCGGUGGCGAAGGCGGCAUCCUGGACCAUUACUGACGCUUAAGCGCGAAAGCUAGGGGAGCAAACGGGG
rnacentral:rRNA from 1 species